GAUGAACGCUGGCGGCGUGCCUAAUACAUGCAAGUCGAGCGAUGAAGCUUGGUGCUUGCACCAAUUUGAAGAGCAGCGAACGGGUGAGUAACGCGUGGGGAAUCUGCCUUUGAGCGGGGGAUAACUUCUGGAAACGAAUGCUAAUACCGCAUAACAACUUUAAACAUAUGUUUUAAGUUUGAAAGAUGCAAUUGCAUUCCCUAAUGAUGAUCUCGCCUUGUAUUAGCUAGUUGGUGAGGUAAAGGCUCACCAAGGCGAUGGAACAUAGCCGACCUGAGAGGGUGAUCGGCCACCACGGGACUGGGACACGGCCCAAACUCCUACGGGAGGCAGCAGUAAGGAAUCUUCGGCAAUGGACGAAAGUCUGACCGGGCAACGCCGCGUGAGUGAAGAAGGUUUUCGGGUCGUAAAAAUCUGUUGGUAGGGGAGAACGUUAGUGAGAGUGGAAAGCUCAUCAAGUGACGGUAACUACCCAGAAAGGGACGGCUAACUACGUG
rnacentral:rRNA from 1 species